rnacentral:miRNA from 1 species
AUAUAUAGAGUCCGGCUACUA